GCGUAAAGAGCUCGUAGGUGGUUUGUCGCGUUGUUCGUGAAAUCUCACGGCUUAACUGUGAGCGUGCGGGCGAUACGGGCAGACUUGAGUACUGCAGGGGGGACUGGAAUUCCUGGUGUAGCGGUGGAAUGCGCAGAUAUCAGGAGGAACACCGGUGGCGAAGGCGGGUCUCUGGGCAGUAACUGACGCUGAGGAGCGAAAGCGUGGGGAGCGAACAGGAUUAGAUACCCUGGUAGUCCACGCCGUAAACGGUGGGUACUAGGUGUGGGUUUCCUUCCUUGGGAUCCGUGCCGUAGCUAACGCAUUAAGUACCCCGCCUGGGGAGUACGGCCGCAAGGCUAAAACUCAAAGAAAUUGACGGGGGCCCGCACAAGCGGCGGAGCAUGUGGAUUAAUUCGAUGCAACGCGAAGAACCUUACCUGGGUUUGACAUGCACAGGACGCCGGCAGAGAUGUCGGUUCCCUUGUGGGCUGUGUGCAAGUGGUGCAUGGCUGUCGUCAGCUCGUGUCGUGAGAUGUUGGGUUAAGUCCCGCAACGAGCGCAACCCUCGCCCUUAGUUGCCAUCAUUCAGUUGGGCACUCUAGGGGGACUGCCGGUGAUAAGCCGCGAGGAAGGUGGGGAUGACGUCAAGUCCUCAUGGCCCUUACGGGAUGGGCUACACACGUGCUACAAUGGCGGUGACAAUGGGAAGCGAAGGGGCGACCUGGAGCGAAUCCCCAAAAGCCGUCUCAGUUCAGAUUGCACUCUGCAACUCGAGUGCAUGAAGGCGGAAUCGCUAGUAA
rnacentral:rRNA from 1 species